GAUGAAGAACGUAGCGAAAUGCGAUAAGUAAUGUGAAUUGCAGAAUUCAGUGAAUCAUCGAAUCUUUGAACGCACAUUGCGCCCCUUGGUAUUCCGAGGGGCAUGCCUGUUCGAGCGUCAUUAUAACCCCUCAAGCUCAGCUUGGUGUUGGGGCCUGCUGCACUGGCAGCCCUUAAAAUCAGUGGCGGCGCCAACUGGCUCUAAGCGUAGUAAUUCUUCUCGCUAUGGAGUCCUGGUGGAUGCUUGCCAUCAACCCCCAAUUUUUCUAUGGUUGACCUCGGAUCAGGUAGGGAUACCCGCUGAACUUAAGCAUAUCAAUAAGCGGAGGA
rnacentral:misc_RNA from 1 species